CCCGGGAGGAGAAGGUCCAGCUGUAGGGUCUUCAACAUUCUGUCCCGGGGCUUUUUGCAGUGAAGGCAGGGAAUGGGAAUUGGAAGGAAACUCCUCCCUGCAGGAAGGAUGGAGCGACAAUUGUUUCAGUACAUUUUGUUGUAACCAGCAGCCUGCAUGAGGGCACCCUCCAAGUAGAUUCGUGAGCUCCUCAGUUCUGUCCGUAGUGGCUAGCCCAGUGUCUGGCGCCUGGCAAAAGCUCCAGAAACUGCCGCUGAAUGGAGAAAUGGGGUCCUCAGAGUUGCUGUCGGGCAGUCUCAGGAGGACAACUGGAAGCUCUAACUCAGGAGUGCAUGGUUGGCUUCCCAAGCAUCAAAGAAGUCGAAGUAUCCGACUCCAGAGUGUGUGUAUUUUUAAAGCAACAAGAACAGCACCAAAAUCAAAACAAAACCAGAGAGAAAGAAAACAACGCCAAGAAAAUCCAAGGAUGGUUCAGUGUCCAACAGACUCGGCUCCCAGUGCUCCGAACUUCUUCAUGCGGACGCCCAGCAACUGCGGUCAAACGGAAUGAGAUACACCUACUCUGUUUUUAAAGCUAAAUAAAAAUAAAAAGUAAGAAUGGCCUCUAAUUAGUGGACCCG